rnacentral:rRNA from 1 species
UACGAAGGGUGCAAACGUUGCUCGGAAUCAUUGGGCGUAAAGCGCACGUAGGCGGCGCUGUAAGUCAUACGUGAAAUCCCUCAGCUUAACUGGGGAACUGCGUGUGAUACUGGAUGGCUUGGAUUUGGGAGAGGGAUGCGGAAUUCCAGGUGUAGCGGUGAAAUGCGUAGAUAUCGAGAGGAACACCUGCGGCGAAGGCGGGUAGCUGGGCCGACACUGACGCUGAGGCGCGAAAGCCAGGGGAGCGAACGGG